rnacentral:lncRNA from 1 species
UUGAAAGUUUCUAAAUGCAUCUAGAACCCUAUCCUUUGUUUUAAUUAGUGUUAUCCAGGUGUAUUUGGAUUUCUCAUCUAUGAAUGUGACAAAGUAUUUGUAAUUGUCCCUAGAUAAGCAUGGAGCAGUCCAUACAUCAGAAUGAACAAGAUCAAAGCAUUUAUCAUAGAUAGUAGUAGAUCUCUUGAACACAGUCUUACAAUGUUUUCCCAAAAUACAAGCUUCACACUCAUUAUUUUUAAACAUGACACCUGGUAACAUUAAGCUUAAGGCUCUAACAUGUGGAUGUCCUAGCCUAGAAUGCCACAAUGCACCUCUACUUAAAACGGAACUCAACAAGCAACUAGAACUAGAAAUGAAAGAAAGGUCUUCAAGUAAAUAAAGGUCUCCUUUGGUUACUCCUUGCCCAAUCAACUUACUGCUUUCAAUAUCCUGAAAUUUCACAUCAUUAGGACUGAAAAUAACAUUGCAUUGAAGAUCAUUGGUACACCUCUUAACAGAUAAUAGAUUAGAAGUAAACUCAGGCAUGUACAAAGCUUUAGAAUCCUUAUUAAACAGUUUCAAGUCUCCUACACCUCUAAUAGGAAUUCUAUCACCAUUUGCAAUCAUUACAUGUCCAUGAGCCGGUUCUAUGUUCUUUAUAAGGCUAUCAUCACUUAUCAUAUGGUGUGAAGCACCUGAAUCAAUAAUCAAUGGUUUUAUUCCUUGAGCAAUAUGAUUCCUAGGUGAUUCUUUUACCAUUUUCAGUUUAUCAAUGAGAUCAAGCAAUGUGGAUUCAUUUCUAGACAUCCUAUCAGCAGCAAAAGUUGUAUAUCUACCUUGUUCAUUUCCCAUUCUAUCAAAGUUUCCUAGCAAGCUAUCACAAGUUCUAGGCAACACAUGAGCAGUAUAAGAAUAACCAAGGGCGUUACCAGACUCCUUAAGGGCUUUGAUCAAGGCAUCAAUGUCUGACUUCUUGAUCACCUCAUGAUCCAUGUUCUUCACAGCUACUUGGUGGUGAGAGGUUAAGGCUCUUCCUUCACUUUCACCCGCAAGACCAGAUGAGCCAGCUCCUGAUGCGCCAGCUUCACUUGUCUCUGCAGAAAGGUGAGCUCUUCCCUCUCUCUCCUUGUUGAACUUGGCCGGCUUCAAAUGGGGGUGUAGGAUCCAGCACUGACUCCUCUUGUGUCCCGGCUUCUUGCAAUGGUCACAGUUUCCACUGAACUUCCUUUCCUCUCCACGGUAAGCAGCCUUGUUUGCUUGGAUUGCUUCAGCCUUGUUGGACAGAGCCAUGUCUCCUUUCCCUCCAAACAUACCAAGUGACCCCUCUUCCUUCUGAAUCUGCGCACACACUUCCUCCAUGGAUGGAAGACUCGGCAUCCUCAACAUGUGCUUGAUCACAUCAUUGAAUGGAGGAUCUAGUGUCAACAGCAAUCCAAACACCUGAUCCUGCUCCCUCCUCUCCAUGAGUAGCUCUUGAUCCGCGGUGCUUGGCCUCAAUGAUUCAAGCUCAGACCACAAGGAUCUAUACUUGCCCAAAUGCUUGGUGAACUCUUCCCCAUCUUGUACCAGUGUGUUGAUGGCCUUCUUAAUCUCAAACACACGGUUCAGAUUGGUAACGUUCCCAAAGGUCUUCUGGAGUACCUCCCACAGGUGUUUUGGAGUCUCGCAGUAGCUGUAGGCCUCCAAGAGAUGCUCUUCAAGGGACCCUUGUAGCACUGAAAGCACCAUCAAGUCUUCUUGAAUCCACUUCUUCUCGGCCGCAGCAACUUGAUCUCCCACACCCUCAUCUCCUUCUCCGUCUUUAGCCACUGGCUUGGUUGCAUCAUCCGUGAUGUGACUCCACAGCCCUAGCCUCCCAAUGGCUGUCUUCACCAGCCUUGACCACAACAGGUAGUUACUACCACCCUUCAACGCAACAGGAACCGUAAUGACCUUGUAGUUUCCCUCCAUCUUGCUUUGUUAGAACCGAAAAGAAAGUAUGAACUAGUAUGAACUGAAGCUGAAGAACACUCUAAAUCUCAAUACCAAAGCCAACCUGGCUCUGAUACCAUAUGAUUUUAGAGAGUUGAACAGGUAUUGAGAGAUUUAGAGAAAGAUUAAAGUGAUAUGAGAUGAUUUAUGAAAUGUAGAAGAGAAACAUGAUGAACUAGAGAGAGAAUAUGAUGAACUCAUGAUUUUAGAGAGUUGAACAGGUAUUGAGAGAUUUAGAGAAAGAUUAAAGUGAGAUGAGAUGAUUUAUGAAAUGUAGAAGAGAAACAUGAUGAACUAGAGAGAGAAUAUGAUGAACUCGUGUUAAUCAUUAAUCAAGACAGAGUUUACAAUAUAUAGAGAGAGACAUUAGGGUAUUCAGAAGCACUAAGCAUGUGAGGUCAAGGAUAAGGUUGCUUUAAUUUGAAUGUAAACCAAUGGGGAUGAUCACACGCUUAAGGCAUCUUUGGGUGAGACUCCUUUUGCCUUUACAGCCUGUGCCAGACUGUCAGGAUAAGCCGCGGUCACUCUAUCCAUCCAAACAGUCAUAUCUUCUAUGGUAAAUCCCCUUUGGCCGUUUACCUCUCUUACCCGGGUAACUUCUCUUCUUGGCCGAGUUAUGGAUCGACCCGGACAGUACAGACGGUACGGCCAGUACGGCCUCUUGUACGGCCUGGUCGAUCCCUAACCUUCCUUCCCUUUGCCUCCACAUUCUCACAUCCUUAACUCCCUAAGCCAUCUUCUCACAUAUUGAUCAACUCAUUUCAACACUCCCCCUCAAGCUUAACUUAAUAACUUAGUUAAGCUUGGAACCACCAUGAGAUCUUCCUCAUUAAAAACCUCACCAAGGAAAACCCAAUGGGACAAAACCUUGAUGAGGGAAAAAGAGUGAAGACCUCAUGGCAAAAGGGGAUCAGCUCCUUGGGGAAAGAUCUAUGAGUCCCAAUCUGGUAUGAAUGGACUCCAUAGUCUUUUGUCUCGCAGCCUUGGUGAACACAUCCGCAAGUUGAUCCUCACUCCUUGUAUAGCAUGGCAAGAUCACUCCCAAGACAAUCAUCUGCCUCACCUUGUGGCAAUCAACUUCAAUGUGUUUGGUUCUCUCAUGGAAGACAGAGUUGGUUGCAAUGUGUAUAGCCGCUUGAUUAUCACAAUGCAUAGUCAUUGGAGUUCCCUGCUCUAUCUCCAAGUUCUUCAAGAUUCCUUUGAUCCAUACCAACUCAUUGGUAAGCUUCAGCAUUGCUCUAUACUCAGCUUCAGCGCUUGAACAAGACACCACCUUCUGCUUCUUACUCUUCCAAGUCACCAAGUUGCCUCCAAUGAAUGUACAAUAUAGCCAGUGGUUGAUCUCCUGUCUGCUCUAUCUCCAGCCCAAUCCGCAUCACAGUAUCCCACCACUUCAGUGCUCUUGUUGCAUCCCAUCCACACUCCAAGGCUUGACGUCCCAUUCAGAUACAAGAGAAGUCUCUCCACCAUGCGCCAGUGAUGAUCCUUUGGGACUUGCAUAUGCUGGCUCACUUGGUUCACCGCAAAGCAUAUGUCUGGUCGUGUGAUUGUGAGGUAGAUAAGCUUCCCUACUAGCUUCCUGUACAGCUUUGGAUCAUGAAAGGCCUUGCUGUCUUCAAUCUCCCCCUCACGUGGAACCUUGUAUCCAUCUUCAAGAGGCAUCUUUGCUGUCUUGUCUCCUUGUAUACCUGCAUCUUUCAAAAGAUCAAGUGUAUACUUCCUUUGGGAAAUGAACAAUCCUUCCUUAGAUCUACACAACUCAAUUCCAAGGAAGUAUUUCAUUUCCCCUAAGUCUUUGAUUUCAAACACAGAUUUCAAAAACUCCUUUGUGGCUUUUAUACCAGCCUUAUCACUACCUGUUAUGAUAAUGUCAUCAACAUAUACAAGUAGACAGAUGAUACCUGAAGGUGUAGUGAGAGUGAAGAGGGUGUGAUCCAAAUCUGACUUCUUGAACCCAUGCCCAUUCAGAGUAGUGCUCAGCUUGUUGUACCAUGCUCUAGGUGAUUGCUUUAACCCAUAGAUUGCCUUCUUGAGUCUCAAUACAUUCCCUGGUUUCACCAGAUGCUCUAGGCCUGGUGGUGGAUGCAUAUACACUUCAUCCUCUAGCUCUCCUUGAAGAAAGGCAUUCUUCACAUCCAUCUGCCAAAGCUCCCACUCAAGGUUCACAGCAAGAGACAAUACAAUCCUUAUUGUAUGUAGCUUGGCAACAGGAGCAAAGGUGUCAAUGUAGUCUUCCCCAUAUGUUUGAGUGUAUCCUCUAGCCACCAGUCUUGUCUUCUUUCUCUCAAUGGUUCCAUCAGGUAGAUACUUAAUGGUGAAUAUCCACUUGCUGGUUACUGCCUUCUUUCCUUUUGGUAACUCACUUUCAAACCAAGUGUCAUUCUUUAUCAUGGCAUUUGCUUCAUCUCCAACAGAUUCCUUCCAAUCUUGAUGUAGCAUUGCUUCUUCAUAUGAUCUUGGUAUACUGCUUUCAUCUAGGCUCAUCAUGAAUGCGCAAUGCUCCUUUGGAUAACAGGCAAAUGAACACACAGCUUGAGAAGGAUGCUCCACAGCCUGGGCAUUGUAGUACACUCUCGUGUUUACCCAGUUGGAAGCAUCUCUCUUCAGCCGUGUGCUUCUCAUUAAUGGUACCUCAGCUGGUGCUUGCUCUGGUGCUUCUACUUCAGUAGCUUCCACUCCUCCUUGUUCUGGUAGCUCAUUAGGCUCUUCAUUACUUGGUUCAGCUCCACCUUGAUCAGGAUGAUCCGCAAAAUCUUGACUCUCAUCCGGCUCAAUUCCAUUCCCUCCCUCAUGAUCAAGGUGAGAUGGUUCUUCAGCUUCUUGUCUUUCAGAUGACUGAUUCUCUGUCGACUCCUGGGACAUUCCAAUUCCAAGACCUUCUAGUAUCUGUCUCAAGCUUGUAGCUCUAUCUGAAGGUUGUGAAAGAUCCUCCAGCUCUUUCCAAUCUUUAUCUUCAUAGUAGCUCUUCUCUUCAAAGAACUUGACAUCUCUUGAUACAAGGACUCUCCUUGACUCAGGAACAAAGCACUUGUAUCCCUUCUGUGUGGUUGAGUAUCCUAUCAUCAUAGCUUUGAUACUCUUUGCUUCCAGCUUGUUUCUCAUCUCUCCCGGGAUAAGAACAUAGCUUACACACCCAAACACUCUUAGGUGAUCUAGGACUGGCUUGCUGUUGUUGAGAACUUCAUAAGGAGCUUUAUCUUCCAGGAUCUUGGUUGGAAUCCUAUUGAUUAGGUAGCAAGCCGUGAUCACAGCAUCACUCCAGAAUCUCUUUGGCACUCUCAUCUGGAACAUCAUUGAUCUAGCCACUUCCAUAAGAUGUCUAUUCUUCCUUUCAGCCACUCCAUUUUGUUGAGGUGUAUAAGGGCAACUCGUUUGAUGGAGUAUCCCAUGUUGAGCUAGAUGGUUCUUGAAUGCAUGGCCAGUAUACUCUCCACCAUUAUCAGACCUGAAAAUCUUAAUCUUGGCAUUAUACUGGUUAGAAACAUAUAAUUGAAAGUUUCUAAAUGCAUCUAGAACCCUAUCCUUUGUUUUAAUUAGUGUUAUCCAGGUGUAUUUGGAUUUCUCAUCUAUGAAUGUGACAAAGUAUUUGUAAUUGUCCCUAGAUAAGCAUGGAGCAGUCCAUACAUCAGAAUGAACAAGAUCAAAGCAUUUAUCAUAGAUAGUAGUAGAUCUUUUGAACACAGUCUUACAAUGUUUUCCCAAAAUACAAGCUUCACACUCAUUAUUUUUAAACAUGACACCUGGUAACAUUAAGCUUAAGGCUCUAACAUGUGGAUGUCCUAGCCUAGAAUGCCACAAUGCACCUCUACUUAAAACGGAACUCAACAAGCAACUAGAACUAGAAAUGAAAGAAAGGUCUUCA